rnacentral:rRNA from 1 species
GACGAACGCUGGCGGCGUGCUUAACACAUGCAAGUCGAACGGAGCGCCAUGGAAUGAGGUUUCGGCCAAAGGAAAUGGUUGCUUAGUGGCGGACUGGUGAGUAACGCGUGAGGAACCUGCCUUUCAGAGGGGGACAACAGUUGGAAACGACUGCUAAUACCGAAUACGCUUGGGAGACCGCAUGAUCUACCAAGGAAAGGGUGGCCUCUACCUGUAAGCUAUCGCCUGAAGAGGGGUUUGCGUCUGAUUAGGCAGUUGGUGAGGUAACGGCCCACCAAACCUACGAUCAGUAGCCGGUCUGAGAGGAUGAACGGCCACACUGGAACUGAGACACGGUCCAGACUCCUACGGGAGGCAGCAGUGGGGAAUCUUCCGCAAUGGGCGAAAGCCUGACGGAGCAACGCCGCGUGAGUGAUGACGGCCUCGG